CAGCAGUGAGGAAGGUGGGUAUGUUAAUAGCAUACUCAUUUGACGUUAGCUGCAGAAGAAGCACCGGCUAACUCCGUGCCAGCAGCCGCGGUAAUACGGAGGGUGCGAGCGUUAAUCGGAAUUACUGGGCGUAAAGCGCAUGCAGGUGGUUUGUUAAGUCAGAUGUGAAAGCCCGGGGCUCAACCUCGGAAUUGCAUUUGAAACUGGCAAACUAGAGUACUGUAGAGGGGGUAGAAUUUCAGGUGUAGCGGUGAAAUGCGUAGAGAUCUGAAGGAAUACCGGUGGCGAAGGCGGCCCCCCUGGACAGAUACUGACACUCACGAUGCGAAAGCGUGGGGAGCAAACAGGAUUAGAUACCCUGGGUAG
rnacentral:rRNA from 1 species